CCAAUAGCGUAUAUUAAAGUUGCUGCAGUUAAAAAGCUCGUAGUUGAAUUUCGGGACUAAUAUGUCGGUCGUGCCUCGGUACGUACUGGUAUUUUUGGUUUCUCCCUUCUGACGAACCUUGAUGUCAUUAAUUUGGUGUCUUGGGAAAUCAGGACUGUUACUUUGAAAAAAUUAGAGUGUUUAAAGCAGGCUCACGCUUGAAUACAUUAGCAUGGAAUAAUGAAAUAGGACGUUUGAUUCUAUUUUGUUGGUUUCUAGGAUCGACGUAAUGAUUAAUAGGGAUAGUUGGGGGCAUUAGUAGUCAAGUGUCAGAGGUGAAAUUCUUGGAUUUAUUGAAGACUAACUACUGCGAAAGCAUUUGCCAAGGAUGUUUUCAUUAAUCAAGAACGAAAGUUAGGGGAUCGAAGACGAUCAGAUACCGUCGUAGUCUUAACCAUAAACUAUGCCGACUAGGGAUCGGAUGAUGUUAAUUUUUUAAGGACUCAUUCGGCGCCUUACG
rnacentral:misc_RNA from 1 species